rnacentral:tRNA from 1 species
GUCAGGGUGGCCGAGUGACUAGGCACUGGUCUGCAAAACCAGUUAGGAGGGUUUGAUCCCCUCCCCUGACU